rnacentral:rRNA from 1 species
GACGAACGCUGGCGGCGUGCUUAACACAUGCAAGUCGAACGGAAAGGCCUCUUUCGGGGGGUACUCGAGUGGCGAACGGGUGAGUAACACGUGAGUAACCUGCCCUUGACUUUGGGAUAACUUCAGGAAACUGGGGCUAAUACCGGAUAGGAGCUCCUGCUGCAUGGUGGGGGUUGGAAAGUUUCGGCGGUUGGGGAUGGACUCGCGGCUUAUCAGCUUGUUGGUGGGGUAGUGGCUUACCAAGGCUUUGACGGGUAGCCGGCCUGCGAGGGUGACCGGCCACAGUGGGACUGAGAUACGGGCCAGACUCCUACGGGAGGCAGCAGGGGGGAAUAUUGCACAAUGGGUGGAAGCCUGAUGCAGCAACGCCGUGGGCGGGAUGACGGGCUUCGGGUUGGAAACCGCUUUCGCUCAUAACGAAGCUUUGUGUGACGGUAGUGGGUAAAGAAGCACCGGCUAACUACGUG